UCAGUCUCCUUAUUGAUGUGUUGUAUUAUUAUGUGCACAAUAUUUAUAAUGCGUACUCACAUCUGUUUGUAUAUAUAAUAAUAGCGUGCACGUUCACUUUCACGAGGUACACGGCCUAUAAAGAGCUUUAAGCACGCACGUUGGGGCACAGCCUGUGGGCCAAAGCAUCCCUCGUCGCAGGUGCGUGCCAGGUCCUAGACGGUGGAGCUGCGGCCUACGACCUGCGCCAACGGCAGGGCUAUACAGCGUGCCCUCUCGCCGCAGGCAAGUUCUGACACGUGCGGCGAGCGUCGACAGCGGCGGCCACGGCUUUCGAAGUUUUGCGUGUGGAGCGAACGCUCUCCCUCACCCGUGCACACGUUCCCAUGAGCGCGGAUGAACUCGUUCCGGGGCAAGUACCUGGUCAGGCGCGACGGCACGAUCAUCACGGCCGACGCCGCACUGCGCUCCAAGCGCCUCAUCUGCCUCUACUUCGCGGCCCAGUGGUGUCCUCCCUGCGUGACCUUCACGCUAGUACUGGCCGACGCCUACCGCGAGGCCAAGAGCCAAGGACUGCCCGUCGAGCGCUCUCAAGGCCCGGUACAAGAUCGCCGCCAUACCAACGCUGGUGGUACUCAGGGCCGACGGCAGCCUGGUGUGCGCCAACGGCAGGUCCCAAAUCGUGGCCAAGUCCCACCUGGCGUUCGCGGACUGGCUCUCCUCCUCCUGAAGAAAGGGCCAACACAUAUAUGCGCCACGGUAAAAAUAAACACGCGCGUCUUGUUUUUGCGAGAAGCAACGAGCGUACCGCUGAAGAAAACAGACCGCCAACAGUCAC
rnacentral:lncRNA from 1 species